UGGGUUCUGGGCUGAUGCUUUUACUCUUUUCAUUUUGGAGCAUACAUCAUGGCAUUGAGCUGAUGCGUUCUAUUUAAAAUUUUAUUUUAACAUGCAUCUGAUGUUGAACUUUUGUUUAACUUGUAUUUUAGUUAUACAUAUUUCCUGAUGUGCUAAUCUCUCUCUCUUGUCUUCCUUUCUUAAACUAGAUUUGGGAUCUUGACACUCUACAGUCUAUUAUGACACUAGAUGGUCAUACUGAUGCACCAAUGUCUCUUCUAUGCUGGGAUCAAUUUUUGUUAUCCUGUUCAUUGGACCAGACUAUAAAAGUUUGGGGUGUUGCAGGAGGCAACUUGGAAGUAACCUAUACACAACUAAAAACAUGGUGUGCCUGCGCUUUGUGGGUUGAAUGAUUCUGGACAACCAGUAUUGUUAUGCGCUUGUAACGAUAAUUCUGUUCACCUAUAUGAUUUACCAUCUUCACUGAGAGGGCGAGGAUAUUGUCAAAACAUGAAGUCAGAGACAUUCAGAUUAGUCCUGAUGGCCUCAUUUUCACCGGUGAUGGAAUCGGAAUGUUAAGCGUAUGGAAGCUGUUGGCAAAGUCAAGUGGAUGAGCCUUCUCAUUAAAAUUUGUACGAGAAACAAGUUGCAGUAUAAAUUGCAGAGUUUGGUUGUAUAUGAAGAGGCAUAGAAAGAACCUAACACUGGGUUUUUUAUCCCCGGUGAUUUUUUCUAAUUUUUUUCAUGGGGUGUGCUUUUCAAUCUGUUCAAAUUUUUGUAGAAGAACUGUAUAAUUUAAUACUGGAAUAAAAUUAUUUUGUUAGCCAUCUCA